rnacentral:tRNA from 1 species
GGGGGCAUGACUCAAUUGAAGAGUGCCUGUCUAACAAGCACAAGAUCCUAAGUUCAAAUCCUAAUACUACCU